AUCUAAGUCUUGCAGCUGUUUCAGGAACCCUCGGUUUGGGGAGAUGGCUCGAUUCUGCAGGACCUUUCUGACGGCGUCAGCCAGGGAGAAAUUCUGACAGAUCAUGAGCUGUCCAUCACAUGCUCCAACUCUUGGACGGAGGGUGAGGCGGAUCUGCGGCUGUUCAUUUUGCAGAAGGAGGCGGUCGUCUUUGGAAAUGGAUCAUCCGCUGUCAUGCAAUGAUACAUGGUCAUUGCAGAGCCCUAAUGAGCUCCAGUUACCUUUUGACGUUUGACAGGGAGAAGCAGUUGCUUCAGAAACCCUCGGUUGGGGAAAAUCCACCGACGUUCUUUCACUGCCUGAAUGGCUUUAACCAAAGAGAAGCGAUGGUAGAUCAUGAGAUAUGCCAGCACCAACGAAGAUGACCUGCUUAUCCCCACUGCACAGUGCACUAAGAUUUUGCCUGAAAAUGAAGUAAACCACAUUUUUUUAUCAUCUUAAAAGAUGGCAUUUUUAAACUACAGAGAAGACAGAAUUCAACCAUUUCUGAAACAGUUCAUGGUUCCUGACCUUUGACAGAAACACUGUCAUCCCGGCCUGGAUACCAUCAGCUUGAGAAUGCUCGCUGGGCUUGCUUACUCCCAAAACGUCUGUGGGCUCAGCCUCACCAGAACUGGACAGAUCUAUAAAGACAUGGCUUUACGCUGGAGUUAAAGUUGCUUCAGAAACCCUUGAUUGGGGAAAAUCCACCGAUGUUCUUUCACUGCCUGAAUGGCUUUAACCAAAGAGAAGCGAUGGUAAAUCAUGAGGUAUGCUAGC